rnacentral:rRNA from 1 species
AUUGAACGCUGGCGGCAGGCUUAACACAUGCAAGUCGAGCGGGGUGAUGGUGCUUGCACUAUCACUUAGCGGCGGACGAGUGAGUAAUGCUUAGGAAUCUGCCUAUUAGUGGGGGACAACAUCUCGAAAGGGAUGCUAAUACCGCAUACGUCCUACGGGAGAAAGCAGGGGAUCACUUGUGACCUUGCGCUAAUAGAUGAGCCUAAGUCGGAUUAGCUAGUUGGUGGGGUAAAGGCCUACCAAGGCGACGUUCUGUAGCGGGUCUGGGGGGAUGAUCGGCCACACUGGGACCGAGACACGGCCCAGACUCCUACGGGAGGCAGCAGUGGGGAAUAUUGGACAAUGGGGGGAACCCUGAUCCAUCCAUGCCGCGUGUGUGAAGAAGGCCUUAUGGUUGUAAAGCACUUUAAGCGAGGAGGAGGCUCUUUUGGUUAAUACCCAAGAUGAGUGGACGUUACUCGCAGAAUAAGCACCGGCUAACUCUGUGCCAGCCGCCGCGGUAA